rnacentral:lncRNA from 1 species
AUUUUCUUCUCUUCUCUUCUCUUCCAGUAGGUGGAGUUGUCUAUUCCAAGCUUUUGUCUCUGCCCUUAGGGUGGUGGAGGUAACCAGUGUGAGAAGACUUGAGCUCUCCCUCUCCUGCCUGGAGCUUCCCUAAUCUUGGUCUCUCUGAGUUGCUCCUGAUUUUUAGACCCCUCCCCUCUCUUACUUAUCAAGUCUCAGCUGCAGGACCUCUCGCCCUCCACCCUCAGAUCACACCAGGUGGGCAGCUCCCUAGUUGCACUGCGCACCUGUUCAACUGAGAGCUGUUUUUGUGUUGGAUAGUCACUGUGCCAAAUUAUCACAACUGGGGGGAGGGGAGUUGGAAACCAGGUACCUGUUCAGUCACAGAUCCACGCUGGUAGCUAUGCCCACCAAAAGAUGGCGAGAAAGGUUUUCCAAGAUGGA